rnacentral:rRNA from 1 species
AUGUGUAUCCCAAGGAAUUAAGGAGGAAUGGGUUUUGGGGAUAUUCAUUGUUUUAAUUUAGCGAUGUUAGCAAAAUAGGCUUGCCAUCUUCUUGAGUAUCCGGAUUCCUUAUGUGCCACCGUUAUGAGAGCUAAAUAUUUUCCCAAUGGAUAUUUAGUUGAUUCCAAACUAAAAAAAGGUCUUCGUCUACUUGACACAGCAUUAUGA